AUUGAACACUGGCGGCAGGCCUAACACAUGCAAGUCGAACGAGCGGCGGACGGGUGAGUAAUGUAUGGGAAUCUGCCCGAUAGAGGGGGAUAACUACUGGAAACGGUGGCUAAUACCGCAUACUAUCGGAUGAACCCAUAUGGGCUUAGCUAGUAGGUGGGGUAAAGGCUCACCUAGGCGACGCUCGCUAGCUGGUCUGAGAGGAUGAGCAGCAAAACUGGGACGGAGACACGGCCCAGACUCCGACGGGAGGCAGCAGUGGGGAAUAUUGCACAAUGGGAGCAAGCCUGAUGCAGCCAUGCCGCGUGUAUGAAGAAGGCCUUAGGGUUGUAAAGUACUUUCAGCGGGGAGGCGUUACCCGCAGAAGAAGCACCGGCUAACUCCGUGCCAGCAGCCGCGGUAAUUC
rnacentral:rRNA from 1 species